rnacentral:rRNA from 1 species
UACAGAGGAUGCAAGCGUUAUCCGGAAUUAUUGGGCGUAAAGAGCUCGUAGGCGGUUUGUCGCGUCUGCUGUGAAAACCUAAGGCUCAACCUUGGGCUUGCAGUGGGUACGGGCAGACUAGAGUGCGGUAGGGGUGACUGGAAUUCCUGGUGUAGCGGUGGAAUGCGCAGAUAUCAGGAGGAACACCGAUGGCGAAGGCAGGUCACUGGGCCGCAACUGACGCUGAGGAGCGAAAGCGUGGGGAGCGAACAGG